GGUCAGAUGGCCGAGCGGUUAAGGCGCCAGUUUUAGGCACUGGUCCUUCGGGGCGUGGGUUCGAGUCCCACUCUGAUCA